rnacentral:rRNA from 1 species
AGCAGCCGCGGUAAUUCCAGCUCCAAUAGCGUAUAUUAAAGUUGUUGCAGUUAAAAAGCUCGUAGUUGAAUUUCGGGGUUAGUAGGUUGGUCAUGCCUCUGGUAUGUACUGGUCUCACUGAUUCCUCCUUCCUGAUGAGCCGUAAUGCCAUUAAUUUGGUGUUGCGGGGAAUUUGGACUGUUACUUUGAAAAAAUUAGAGUGUUUAAAGCAAGCUAACGCUUGAAUACAUUAGCAUGGAAUAAUGAAAUAGGACGUUCGAUCCUAUUUUGUUGGUUUCUAGGAUUGACGUAAUGAUUAAUAGGGAUAGUUGGGGGCAUUAGUAUUCAAUUGUCAGAGGUGAAAUUCUUGGAUUUAUUGAAGACUAACUACUGCGAAAGCAUUUGCCAAGGAUGUUUUCAUUAAUCAAGAACGAAAGUUAGGGGAUCGAAGACGGUCAGAUACCGUCGUAGUCUUAACCAUAAACUAUGCCGACUAGGGAUCGGAUGAUGUUAAUUUUUUAAUGACUCA